rnacentral:rRNA from 1 species
UACAGAGGGGGCAAGCGUUGUUCGGAAUUACUGGGCGUAAAGGGCGCGUAGGCGGCCUUCUAAGUCGAACGUGAAAUCCCUGGGCUCAACCCAGGAACUGCGUCCGACACUGGAAGGCUUGAAUCCGGGAGAGGGAUGCGGAAUUCCAGGUGUAGCGGUGAAAUGCGUAGAUAUCUGGAGGAACACCGGUGGCGAAGGCGGCAUCCUGGACCGGUAUUGACGCUGAGGCGCGAAAGCCAGGGGAGCAAACGGG